rnacentral:rRNA from 1 species
GACGAACCGUGCGAACGUUGUUCGGAAUCACUGGGCUUGAAGGGCGCGUAGGCGGGCCGUCUGGUCCGGGGUGAAAGCACACGGCUUAACCGUGUGACUGCCUGGGAUACCGGCGGCCUGGAGGGGGGUAGGGGCACGCGGAACUUCCGGUGGAGCGGUGAAAUGCGUUGAUAUCGGAAGGAACGCCGGUGGCGAAAGCGGCGUGCUGGGCCUUUCCUGACGCUGAGGCGCGAAAGCCAGGGGAGCGAACGGG